ACGAGGUCGGAGUCGCUCUCUAGAUGUUGGACCUCUGAUCCCAAGUUCUGGAGUCUCACCUUUGCAUCCAACUGGUACCCUGAUGCUUCUCAACCCCUCGCCUGCCUCCGCCACUUGAGGAUUUAUUUAUACCCACCCUCGGUGGGUGAUGAACAACCCCUGCCAUCCACCACAACCAGCUGCCUCCCAGCCCAGAUCUCGAAACCAAGGAGCAGCUUACCGCUGAAAAGAG